ensembl:lncRNA
UUUCCCUGGUAACCAAUGAGCCAACCUGAUUUCAAUUCUCCUAUAAAUUGAAAGGCUUCUCCCACUUGGGAGUGAAGCCUGCCGCCAUGUCCUGACCACCAUUGGCCCCCACACGUUGGGGUGUUGCUCCAGGAUAUUGCUUCAGAAAAGUUCCAUACAUAAGAGAUGUCACACAAUAUUUCUCCUUCUCUGUCUGACUUACUUCACUCAGUAUGACAAGCUCUGCUGCUGCUGCUAAGUCGCUUCAGCUGUGUCCGACUCUGCGACCCCAUAGACAGCAGCCCACCAGGCUCCCCCAGACCCUGGUCUUUGGUAGCAACUUUGGGACUGGCUCUGGGUUGAAGAAGUGCUAGUCCAAGGGCGGCAUCAGUGGUGUUCCUCUCGGGGGUUCCUGGCAUCAAUACCCAGCCUCCACCGAGAAAGCGACUCCAGGCCGAUGUUGAAACAUUCCCAGGUUGCACUGUGCUGUGGCAUCCGAGGUGGUAUCCCUUGCUUUUAGUGUCAAAAGCUGCAGAGUUCCAGCCCAGGAAAAACACCCCCACCCCAGCUGGACUGGCCCGGACCCCUGGAACCUUGGCCAAUGAGAGCCACUGUGCUGGAUGGAGGGUUCUGGAACUCAGGGUGGAGUUCUUGGAGACCUCACCCCUGCCUCCCACUUUGAGCCGGAUAUUUCCUCUAUUCCUAUUUUUUUUAAAUUAAUUUUUACUGGAGUAUAGUUGUUCUUGGGCUUCCCUGUUUGCUCAGUGGUAUAGAAUCCACCUGCCAAUUCAGGAGACAUGGGUUUGAUCCCUGGGUUGGGAAGAUCCCCUGCAGAAGGAAAUGGCAAUCCAUUCCAGUAUUUUUGCCUGGGAAGUCUCAUGGACAGAAGAGCCUGAUGGGCUACAGUCCAUGGG